CGACCGGGAGGUGCAUUCGCGCAGCAUCACGCCGUAAGGUAUUGCUGUGAGGAAAGUCCGGGCUCCGCAGAGCAGGGUAACGGAUAACGUCCGCCGAAGGCGACUUCAGGGAAAGUGCAACAGAAAUAAACCGCAUGAUUCGUCAUGUAAGGAUGGAAAGGCGAGGUAAGAGCUCACCGGCAUUCUGGUAACAGCGUGCAAAUGUAAACCCUACCCGGAGCAACUCCCCAUGGGAAUCCCGGAAACGGGCUGCCUGCUCGGCAGAUUCCCGGGGCGGCUGGAGCCGUGCGGUAACGUACGGUCGAGACAGAUGAGUGCAGGCGGCUUUGCCGCAACAGAACCCGGCUUAUUAUCCCGGUCGCAUU
rfam:Firmicutes bacterium CAG:272 genomic scaffold, scf135